CCUAACUCACAACCUUAUCCUCCUGGCCGUGCCUGAGGUCGACCUCCAUACCCAAUGAGAGAGAACACACACAGAAAUUCCCUUAUUUGAGGGAACGGCAAUGAGCACAUGCCACAGGAAUAGAAUUAGCCAUAAGUAUGCACUCCAAGACAUGGAAAUACGUCUCAAACUACCAUGACCGUCCUGUCACGAAGGCAAGGCUGUCACCACAUUGUUCACAAACGCUUGGCCCAGUGUAAUCUCAAGUGACAAAAGGGAAUAGGCUGUCACCACCCGCAUAGACAACGCUCCGUUGUGAUGGAACGAAUAGACUUUUAGGAGACAUCCUGAUACUC
rnacentral:lncRNA from 1 species